rnacentral:rRNA from 1 species
UACGGGGGGGGGCAAGCGUUGUUCGGAAUUACUGGGCGUAAAGGGCUCGUAGGUGGCCAACUAAGUCAGACGUGAAAUCCCUCAGCUUAACUGGGGAACUGCGUCUGAUACUGGAUGGCUUGAGUUCGGGAGAGGGAUGCGGAAUUCCAGGUGUAGCGGUGAAAUGCGUAGAUAUCUGGAGGAACACCGGUGGCGAAGGCGGCAUCCUGGACCGACACUGACACUGAGGAGCGAAAGCCAGGGGAGCAAACGGG